AGACUCCCCCCUUUCUCUCGUUUUCAUUUCUCUUGAUUUCGAAAAAGUUGAGUUUUGGACUGGUUUCUCUCUUGCUUUCAUUUCUUUUACAGUUUCAUCCAUCAUCUCUUCGUUUCAUUUCUUUUACAAUUUUGUCCAUCAUCUAUUCGAUUGGUUUCUCUCUUGAUUUCGUUUCUUUUACACUUUCGUCUAUCUUGGUUUCGAAAAAGUUUUGGUUUUGUUUCUCUCCCGCUCAUAUCGUAGCAAAGUCUCAGAUUUGUGUCGCUUACCGUCGUUGUUGAUCAGUUGCAGCAACCCACGCCAUCCUCGGCUGCUACCCACAUUUCGGCAUCGAACUUGGUAAAGCAAAAAAGAAUGCUAGUUGAGAUGGUGCAACAACAACGUAAAGUAGAGCUGGGAAUCUAAAAAUGAUGUUCUGUUGGGGUGAUUUUGUAUAAGCUGAAGAUGCAUUUCUUUUUGUAUUUGGGAGUGAUUGUAGGAAGGUGAAGUUGCAUUUCUUUUAUGUAUUUGGGAGUGGGUUGACUAAAGAAACUUGUUGAACUCAUGAACUCUGUCACUCUUGUUCAGAAAAAUAUUUUUAUAUAUUUUAUGAAAAAAUAUCUGCACAAUGGCUA